AGAAUCAACGCUGGCGGCGUGCCUAACACAUGCAAGUCGCACGAGAAAGGGACUUCGGUCCUGAGUAAAGUGGCGCACGGGUGAGUAACACGUGAAUCAUCUACCUCCGAGUGGGGAAUAACCUAGAGAAAUCUGGGCUAAUACCGCAUAACACUUACGAGUCAAAGCAGCAAUGCGCUUGGAGAGGAGUUCGCGGCAGAUUAGUUAGUUGGCGGGGUAAUGGCCCACCAAGAUGAUGAUCUGUA
rnacentral:rRNA from 1 species